rnacentral:rRNA from 1 species
CUUGACUGUAUCCUGGAAUUGGGUUCGGGCUUUUCUUGCGCAGCCUAGGUGGGAGGCUAUGAAGAUUUCCUUCCGGGGAAGUCGGAGCCAUCAGUGAGAGACCACUCUGGAGAGGCUAGAAUCCUAAUGGUGAUCCUUGAAUCAGGACACUUGACAGUUUCAGGUGGGCAGUUUUUCUGGGGCGGAAGCCUCAUAAAGGGUAACUGAGGCGCGCAAAGGUCCCCUCAGUCUGGACGGAAAUCAGACAACGAGUGUAAAGGCAAAAGGGGGCUUGACUGCAAGACCUACAAGUCGAGCAGGAGCGAAAGCUGGCCUUAGUGAUCCGACGGCGCUGCGUGGAAAGGCCGUCGCUAAACGGAUAAAAGUUA